rnacentral:rRNA from 1 species
AUUGAACGCUGGCGGCAGGCCUAACACAUGCAAGUCGAACGAGUGGCGGACGGGUGAGUAAUGUCUGGGAAACUGCCUGAUGGAGGGGGAUAACUCCUGGAAACGGUAGAUAAUACCGCAUACCAGCAGCUGUGCCCAGGUGGGAUUAGCUAGGCGGGGGGGUAACGGCUCACCUAGGCGACGAUCCCUAGCUGGUCUGAGAGGAUGACCAGCCAACCUGGAACUGAGACAUGGUCCAGACUCAUACGGGAGGCAGCAGUGGGGAAUAUUGCACAAUGGGCGCAAGCCUGAUGCAGACAUGCCGCGUGUAUGAAGAAGGCCUUCGGGUUGUAAAGUACUGUCAGCGGGGAGGCGUUACCCGCAGAAGAAGCACCGGCUAACUCCGUGCCAGCAGCCGCGGUAAUAC